rnacentral:tRNA from 1 species
GCCCUUGUAGCUUAACACUUAAAGCAUUG